UAGGGAAUCUUCGGCAAUGGACGAAAGUCUGACCGAGCAACGCCGCGUGAGUGAAGAAGGUUUUCGGAUCGUAAAACUCUGUUGUUAGAGAAGAACAAGGACGUUAGUAACUGAACGUCCCCUGACGGUAUCUAACCAGAAAGCCACGGCUAACUACGUGCCAGCAGCCGCGGUAAUACGUAGGUGGCAAGCGUUGUCCGGAUUUAUUGGGCGUAAAGCGAGCGCAGGCGGUUUCUUAAGUCUGAUGUGAAAGCCCCCGGCUCAACCGGGGAGGGUCAUUGGAAACUGGGAGACUUGAGUGCAGAAGAGGAGAGUGGAAUUCCAUGUGUAGCGGUGAAAUGCGUAGAUAUAUGGGGGAACACCAGUGGCGAAGGCGGCUCUCUGGUCUGUAUCUGACGCUGAGGCUCGAAAGCGUGGGGAGCAAACAGG
rnacentral:rRNA from 1 species